UGAUGAAAAAAAUGUGUCUUUUGUUCAUUCAUAUUUUGGCAUUAGUAUAUGUUAUUGUCCUUUUCCUUUCUGGUUCCGGACAGUUCGGAUUACAUGAGAAUUUUGAAUCAUCUUGUAAGGUGACAGCAUUUCAUGACGAAACUAGGAACUUGUUAUUAACGUAUUAUUCUGCUAAACUAUGUAGAAAUAAGCUUAGUUAUGAACGUUUUAUUCAAUUGUUGUCUUUUGCAAACAAUAGAACAAAAUACAAUAUUAUUAUUGAGAACAAGACAAAACAAAUACAAGUAACAUAG